rnacentral:rRNA from 1 species
AACGGAAUCAAGAGGAGCUUGCUUUUCUUAGCUUAGUGGCGAACGGGUGAGUAACGCGUGAGUAACCUGCCCUGGAGUGGGGGACAACAGUUGGAAACGACUGCUAAUACCGCAUAAGCCCACGGAUCCGCAUGGAUCUGCGGGAAAAGGAUUUAUUCGCUCUAGGAUGGACUCGCGUCCAAUUAGCUAGUUGGUGAGGUAACGGCCCACCAAGGCGACGAUUGGUAGCCGGACUGAGAGGUUGAACGGCCACAUUGGGACUGAGACACGGCCCAGACUCC